rnacentral:rRNA from 1 species
UACGUAGGGUGCAAGCGUUGUCCGGAAUUAUUGGGCGUAAAGAGCUCGUAGGCGGUUCGUCGCGUCGGCUGUGAAAUCCCGAGGCUCAACCUCGGGUCUGCAGUCGAUACGGGGCGGACUGGAGUUCGGCAGGGGAGACUGGAAUUCCUGGUGUAGCGGUGAAAUGCGCAGAUAUCAGGAGGAACACCGGUGGCGAAGGCGGGUCUCUGGACCAUAACUGACGCUGAUGCACGAAAGCUGGG